UACGUAGGGUGCGAGCGUUAAUCGGAAUUACUGGGCGUAAAGCGUGCGCAGGCGGUUUGCCAAGUCAGAUGUGAAAGCCCCGGGCUUAACCUGGGAAUGGCGUUUGAAACUGGCAGGCUAGAGUUUGGCAGAGGGGGGUGGAAUUCCACGUGUAGCAGUGAAAUGCGUAGAGAUGUGGAGGAACACCGAUGGCGAAGGCAAUCCCCUGGGCCUGCACUGACGCUCAUGCACGAAAGCGUGGGGAGCAAACAGG
rnacentral:rRNA from 1 species